CCAAAGGUCCUUUUCAGGGCCGCCAAAUCUUUCAGAAAAAUUUGCU
rfam:Ophiophagus hannah scaffold141.1, whole genome shotgun sequence.